GUUUCCCAAGUUCAAUUAAUACAAUAUUAUAAACAUACAAAUGUAAUAAAAAUUAUUGUUCGCGAAUAUUCAAUUUGGAAUGCGAUUUUGUUAAUAAAAAAAAUACUUAUAACUUAUGCAAAACCCAAGAGAGGCAUUUAUAUUUAUUUCUUUUGCGUUCAUUUUCAAAUUCGCCGUGCAUAUAUUUUUGUGCAUGGCGCUUGAGAGGGCAUCACGUGACUAAAAACGACCAACCAACGACCUCGCUUCGGCCAUCUUGGCAUCUUCAUCUUGGCCACCUUGCUUUGCCGUGGGUGGAUCGUUGUUUCUAUUAUUUGUGCUUUUUAAGAAUAUUUUUUUAAUUCGGAUACUUUUAUAAUAGCUUUAAUAGUAUUAUUAACAUAGUGAAUAAAAUGGUGUCCUGUUUUUAACGCAGUUGGAGUAGCAGAAACAAAUGUAGAUAAAAAAAUCUGCAGGAAUAACGUUUCAAUUAUGACAGAAGCUCCAAACAAAUGACUGUGAAUGAAAAGCCCUAUUAAAAGCUUUCCAGAAGAUCCUGCGAAGAAGACAUGAAGUAUAGAUCAGAUUUGUUAAUAGAGGAGUAUGUUCAAAACACUUUUUAGAAAAAGAUAUUGACAGAACUUCACUUUCAUCUGUUCGUUUAAGAGACUGUGCUGUUCCAAUAGCUUAUGUCACACAGAAUCAGCUGAGAGAAGUGGUCUACAAAAAACCAGAAAGGAAACAGAAUAUGUGGCUACGAAAAGCAAAAGAAAGGUUUACAAAGCAAAUGUGACACAUUUUUUUAUAAUAUUUAGGAAUGUCAGUAAAUUACAUUAAAAAAUGUAUGUAAAGAUUUUUUGCAAUAAAAAUGUUUAUAUUUA